rnacentral:rRNA from 1 species
UACGGAGGAUCCAAGCGUUAUCCGGAAUCAUUGGGUUUAAAGGGUCCGUAGGCGGUUUGGUAAGUCAGUGGUGAAAGCCCAUCGCUCAACGGUCGGAACGGCCAUUGAUACUGCCAGACUUGAAUUAUUAGGAAGUAACUAGAAUAUGUAGUGUAGCGGUGAAAUGCUUAGAGAUUACAUGGAAUACCAAUUGCGAAGGCAGGUUACUACUAAUGGAUUGACGCUGAUGGACGAAAGCGUGGGUAGCGAACAGG